CACCUGAUGAUCAAUGAUCCACCUGCAAACAAUGCUCAAUUGCACAACCGUUUCCGCAAGACAUUUUCAAGUAGUUCACACUUUUCAACCAAGGUUCUAUGAUCUCAUCACACUACUCACAUGCACUCUUCAGUUUUUGGUACUUCACUCAAAUCAACACAUCAAUGCAAGUCAACAAUAAUUUUGCAAGUAAUCUAAGAAUUCAUUCGGUUCACUUUGUGCACACACAUUAGAGGUCUUUUAGGGUUAUAACGUGGCUUGGCUAGGGUGGAUGGUGACAUUUUGGAUAAGUAGUAGAAAAA
rnacentral:lncRNA from 1 species